rnacentral:rRNA from 1 species
GCCCAGACUCCUACGGGAGGCUGCAGUCGAGAAUCUUCCGCAAUGGGCGAAAGCCUGACGGAGCGAUGCCGCGUGAGGGAUGAAGGCCUUCGGGUUGUAAACCUCUGUCGCCCGGGACGAAACCAAUGACGGUACCGGGAGAGGAAGCUACGGCUAACUACGUGCCAGCAGCCGCGGUAAUACGUAGGUAGCAAGCGUUAUUCGGAUUUACUGGGCGUAAAGGGUCCGCAGGGGGCCUGCCAAGUCUGAUGUGAAAUACCACGGCUCAACUGUGGAACGGCAUUGGAAACUGGCGGGCUAGAGUGCAUGAGGGGUGAGCAGAAUUCCUGGUGUAGCGGUGGAAUGCGUAGAUAUCAGGAGGAAUACCGAUGGCGAAGGCGGCUCACUGGCAUGCAACUGACCCUCAGGGACGAAAGCGUGGGUAGCAAACAGGAUUAGAUACCCUGGUAGUCCACGCUGUAAACGGUGUACACUAGAUGUGGGUGGUCCUUUUGGUCCCAUCCGUGUCCAAGCUAACGCGUUAAGUGUACCGCCUGGGGACUACGGCCGCAAGGUUAAAACUCAAAGGAAUUGACGGGGGCCCGCACAAGCGGUGGAGUAUGUGGCUUAAUUCGAGGCAACGCGAAGAACCUUACCUGGGCUUGACAUAUACCUGACGGGGUGUGAAAGCAUCCUUUCCUUCGGGACGGGUAUACAGGUGCUGCAUGGCUGUCGUCAGCUCGUGUCGUGAGAUGUUCGGUUAAGUCCGGCAACGAGCGCAACCCGUACUGUCAGUUGCGACCAGGUGAAGCUGAGCACUCUGGCGGGACUGCCCGUGUUAAGCGGGAGGAAGGCGCGGAUGACGUCAAGUCAGUAUGGCCCUUACGUCCAGGGCUGCACACGUACUACAAUGGGCGGUACAGUGGGAAGCAAUACCGCGAGGUGGAGCAAAUCCUCAAAACCGCCCCCAGUUCAGAUUGCAGUCUGCAACUCGACUGCAUGAAGCCGGAAUCGCUAGUAAAGGCGUAUCAGCAACGACGCCUUGAAUACGUUCCCGGGCCUUGUACACACCGCCCGUCACAUCAUGGAAGCCGGUUGCACCCGACACUUCCGAUCCAACCCGCAAGGGAGGUAGGAAACUAAGGUGUGCCCGGUAACUGGGAUGAAGUCGUAACAAGGUAGCCGUUGGGGAACCAGCGGCUG